UACGGAGGGAGCUAGCGUUAUUCGGAAUUACUGGGCGUAAAGCGCACGUAGGCGGCUUUGUAAGUAAGAGGUGAAAGCCCGGGGCUCAACUCCGGAACUGCCUUUUAGACUGCAUCGCUUGAAUCCAGGAGAGGUGAGUGGAAUUCCGAGUGUAGAGGUGAAAUUCGUAGAUAUUCGGAAGAACACCAGUGGCGAAGGCGGCUCACUGGACUGGUAUUGA
rnacentral:rRNA from 1 species